ensembl:lncRNA
GGGCACCUCCAGGGAUCCAGAGCAGCCACAGCUGUGCCAGGGCCUCCCCACCCUCAGUGAAGAAUUCCCUAAAAUCCAAUCCAUCCCUUCUCCCUUCCAGUUUGAAGCCCUUCCCUCCUGUCCUGUCACUGCAAUAAUUAAUAGUGCCUGAAUACACCACGGGAGUAACAAACUCCAGGUUUCUGCUCCACAUCUUGAGCAGAUUCAGGUUUUUACCAACAUCCCCCAGCACGAUUUUGCCGGGCAGAAAGCCACAGGCUCAGUUUUGGGGUUGGAUUCCCCAGCCCCUCCCCUGGCUCCAAACAUUACUUCCCCUCACAGAGCCUGGUGCAGCUCAGACAGCAGAAUUUGGGAGACAAUCCCUUAUCAUGUUACAUCAACAAGCAUUACAGCAGGGCAGAUAAGCUUAUUUUUUUAAUCUGAGGUGCUGUGCUUGAGAAAAUGUCACUCAGAGAGUGUCCCAUGGACUCAUGGCAGGCUGAACACAGAGCUACACAUAUUUAUAUACACACACCACAAAGACAUCUAAAUCUCUCUCUAUAUUUUUUUUUUAGUGUUUUCAGCUUGCAAACUUCUUAAAAAUCAGAUAUUUGCCGUUCACCCACAUUAAAACAAGGUAAAAAUUCACUGUGCUGUCUGCACACUGUGUGUGUAAAACACAUGGUUUAAUCACCCAGGUUGUAGCUGGAGACCUUUUAUUGGAGCAUGAUUUCAUCUUCAAACCAUCCCAAUAUCCACUUGUGUACAGUAAGUUACCCAUUUAUAGGUUUCUAAUAAAAGCAAAUCUUCCCUAAGUGGCUAUUACUGGAUUUCUCCUUUCAGCCUGGGGAUAAGCAGGAUUCUGGGCUUUAAAAAGCUCUCUAGUGGGCUGAAUAAGAAAGUGACAACUGAAGAAUGUCAUGGCAAAACUCUGGUGUGUUCUAAUUACAGCACUGUUAAUGAGAGGAACAUUUGUCAGAGCAGAGCUUCAUCACGUUCAGCACAGACACAGGAACCUCCCUCUCACACAGUCCCAGUUUUCUCUCCUCUCGAGGCAGAUGCCACAGGAGGUGGUGUCUGCCAGCACAAGUCCUGUUCAGGCACCUGGCAAGGGAUCAGAUGGUUCUGGAGAUGGACUCGGGCCAUGAGGCUGCAAGAAGCAACAACCCCAACAAGCUGUGCGGUGCUGGUGACAGGUCACACCACCCUGGCAUGUUCUGGGAAGAUAAAGGAAGAGGAAAUACAAGCUCAUGGAGUUCAAGAAGGAGAAAAUGUAGGCACCCAAAGGCCUGAAGGGAGGCAAUUAGACACAAAGCAGCUCUUCCCAUCAAAUAUUUCCAUUUGGAUCUGCCAGUUCUUGCACCUUAUCAGUCCUCCCUGGUUAUGUUUCCAGAGAUUUUGUUGAGAUUUCAGAGCACACUCCCCAUUAUUAAUGUGUGUUUCCCUCCCCACCCUCUUUUUCCAGUCACAGCCCUGGGCCUGAAAAAGUUCUACUUGUCUGACAGGGGUGGCAGUUUGCAUUUUUAUUAAAAGAGCUUCAUGUAAUUCAAUGGAAUUCACUCUACACAAAGAGAUAAUUUUUUGCAAUUACCAGAAUCUCAAACAUGGAUAUAAACCAGCUCUUGAAGUUCAACAUUUUUGUUUUAGAAACACAGGAAAAACAAAGACUCACAUCUGGCAGAACUGAUGAUGGAAAUCUGAGCCCCAAAGAAACAGAUAAUUCAAUCAUUACCUGAACAAAUUGGCUCACACUUGUGAUGGACCAGGCCUGAUCCCAAAUUCCCCUACAAGCUUUCCAUAGAUUUUUAGGGGGAAAUAGCAAAUGUUACAGAAAGUAGUAAUUUUAUUUAGAUAUAUCCUGUGUUUCAUGGCAUUUCUAUGCUGCUUUGAAAUUUUAUCUGAGUAUUUUCUUUUCCAACAACAAAUUCCUUUGGUGUCUACAUCCCAUCACAUUUUUUAAAAUCCCAGGAUAGAUAAGGGAAAAGCAACGCAGAGAAAUAAAAUUCUUCAAACUUAAGCAAUUUGCAAGUAAGUUCCUAAUGCAUUCUAUUAAUGCAUUUGUGCUUUUGACAAGAGAUUUAAAAACUUUCCCCCAGAACAGAAAGAGUUUGGCUGGAGAUAACUAAAAACACAGGAGUUUAAAUCAAGUUCCUUUCCUGCCUUAAGUAAAAGAACCUGUUGAACCAUGAUAAGAAAUGGUUUGAUUUCUAAAGCAGCAUUUUUAAACAGCUCAUCAGCCAAACUGUCCCUGUAUUCCCCAGCUGAGCUGAACCCUCAGCAGCGGGAUAUGCACCAGGUGUGAGUGAAGCAACUGGGUAAAAUCAGCCCUUUCAUGUGCCCAUUUUGGACUGAUCAUCCAAUAUUCCAGACUGAGCCCCUAACAAAAAGUAAACCCAACCCUCUGCAUUUGAUUUCCUCCCUCAGCAUGAACAGACAGUUAACACACACGGCUGUCUCC